GGGACACGUGGUAUCCUGUCUGAAUAUGGGGGGACCAUCCUCCAAGGCUAAAUACUCCUGACUGACCGAUAGUGAACCAGUACCGUGAGGGAAAGGCGAAAAGAACCCCGGCGAGGGGAGUGAAAAAGAACCUGAAACCGUGUACGUACAAGCAGUGGGAGCCCCACCACUAAGCCAGUGGUGAACUCCACAUACGCAUCCUUUGCUGAGGAUACGGUUAACGGAGCGAAAGCGACGUUCAACCGCAAAAGAAGCAGAGGGGGCUUAGUGGUGGGGUGACUGCGUACCUUUUGUAUAAUGGGUCAGCGACUUAUAUUCUGUAGCAAGGUUAACCGAAUAGGGGAGCCGGAGGGAAACCGAGUCUUAAUUGGGCGUUAAGUUGCAGGGUAUAGACCCGAAACCCGGUGAUCUAGCCAUGGGCAGGUUGAAGGUUGGGUAACACUAACUGGAGGACCGAACCGACUAAUGUUGAAAAAUUAGCGGAUGACCUGUGGCUGGGGGUGAAAGGCCAAUCAAACCGGGAGAUAGCUGGUUCUCCCCGAAAGCUAUUUAGGUAGCGCCUCGUGAAUUCAUCUCCGGGGGUAGAGCACUGUUUCGGCUAGGGGGCCAUCCCGGCUUACCAACCCGAUGCAAACUGCGAAUACCGGAGAAUGUUAUCACGGGAGACACACGGCGGGUGCUAACGUCCGUCGUGAAGAGGGAAACAACCCAGACCGCCAGCUAAGGUCCCAAAGUCAUGGUUAAGUGGGAAACGAUGUGGGAAGGCCCAGACAGCCAGGAUGUUGGCUUAGAAGCAGCCAUCAUUUAAAGAAAGCGUAAUAGCUCACUGGUCGAGUCGGCCUGCGCGGAAGAUGUAACGGGGCUAAACCAUG
rnacentral:rRNA from 1 species